UUCGUUCAAGAGAAGCGUAUCGGUCACGUCGAGUUUCGAAGGUUGUUCACAAAAUUUUCACACCGGAUCGUAACGGAACUCUCUCUCUCUCUCUCUCUCUCCCUCACUCUCUCUCUUUCUCUACAUAUAUAUACAUAUAUAUCUAUCUCAUUCUCUAGUUAUCUCUCUGUCUCUUUCUUUCUUUUGUCUCUUUAAACGUAACUUUCAACAUUUUCCGUUGUUUCACGUAAUUUUGCUUUCGGUACGUCGUCCGAUCGUCGCGACAAUAUUCAACGUUCGUCGUCGUCGUCGUCGUCGUCGUCGUCGUCGUCGCCGUCGUCGUCGCCGUCGUCGUCAUCUUUGUGAGGAGAACGCGAGGAUGUUCAGAAGGUGUUCUCUCUCUCUCUCUCUAUCUCUCGGCAGAUAUUUCUUCGUGGUGAAGGAAAACGUCCAUAUUAAACAAUCGUCCUAAAAACGUGAACAAAGGAGUGAAUCUCGUCGUUCAGAAAAAGGUAAAAAGGAAAGGUAAAAAGAAAAAAGAGAGAGAGAGAGAGAGAGAGAGAGAAAGAAGAAAGCAAAAAAAUGGGGGAAAAAAGAAAUGACUGGCGGCUUUCUACGAGAUGGAAAGAAGGAAGGAAUCGAGAACGACGAUAACACUUUGACGGCUUCGAGGCGUUAUCCAGUUGCUACGACGGCUCUUGCAACUCUAGAAGAAGAAGAAAAGAAAAGAAAAGAAGAUGACUUGAACUGACCGACAUGGACCUGAAGGUUACAGUUACGGAUCAGUCAGGCCAUGACCAUAGUUGAAGAAUCGGAGGAAUACCAUCGAGUACUUGGAAGUCGGUCUUUUGUGCGAACACGUGCAAACUAUCGGCAGCAGACAUACAUAUUUUCCUUCCUCUUUCCUUUUUCAUUCUAUCUAUUUAUCUAUUUAUCUAUUUAUCUAUUUAUCUAUCUCUUUCGUUUUGAGUUCUUUCCUCUCCCUUAAUCUCAAUCUGAGAACUCAACUUGAACGGAAGUGUUUUGAAAAAAGAAAAAAAAAAUUAUCAAAAGAAAAGAGAAAAAAGAAAGACGAAUAAAAAGAAGUACAGAGGCAUCACGUAAUUUUGAAGAUAUAUAUAUAUAUAUAUCAAAUUUUUUCUGGAAAAAUCGGACAAAUCAUUUUUUGUGUUACAGUCCCUCUCACAGAAUGAACGUUAAGUCUGAGAACACCGACUUUGCCGGAUUCGUUCGUCUCGUAAAUCGUAAGACUGUCUCUAGCUGUAGUAAUUCUUAAAAAGAGAAAAAGAAAACUAGAUGGAGAGAGGGUGUUGGUGGUGGUGAUGGUGAUAGUAGAUGGGAGAUAGUGGUGGUAGUAGUAGUAGUAGUAGUAGUAGUAGUAGUAGUAGUAGUAGUAGUAGUAGUAGUAGUUGGAGUUUUAGCGAGACAAACGUACCUGAGAAUUCUUCUUAAGACGGUUCGCACUUUACGGGCAUGCUCGUCUCACUCUUUGCUCGGUAAUGGAGAAUCCCCGUCCUCCUUUUUCCCUCCCUUUCUCCUCCCUCUCUCUCUCUUUCUCUCUGUUUCUCUUUCUUUCUCUUUCCCUCCGUUGGAGGAAUUAAUUUGGUGCUAACGCCAGGACCAACCCCUUGCUCCUUUUGCUCUGAUAUCGGUCUUCUCUCUCUCUCUCUCUCUCUCUCUCUCUCUCUCUCUCUCUCUCUCUCUCUCUCUCUCUCUCUCUCUCUCUCUCUCUCUCUCUCUCUCUCUCGCUCAUUUUAUAGUCGAGGCGUUGGUAACAACUCCGACGAGCUUUCGUUUGACUUUUUACCUCGCUGAGAUGUUUUAACUCAACGCAGAGAGAGAGAGAGAGAGAGAGAGAGAGAGCCCUCUUUUUCUUCUUCUUCUUUCUUCUAACUCAACGAAAUUGUCUUAUAAAUUUUUCUUCCAUUUCUCUCUCUCUCUCUCUCUCUCUCCCCCUCUCUCCUUUUCUUCGCUGAGAGGAAACCUCUUUCCUCUACGAAUAAAGACUCUGCCAACUUUCUUCUUCUUCUUCUUCUUCUUCUUCUUCGUCAUAUUUUAGUUUGGGAAAAUAGGAUCGAUGGAACGUCCGUAAGUACAUACGUACUUACGUCUUCUUUUAAAAGAAAUUUAUACAGAUUUCGUUACAUACAUACAUAUAUAUAUAUAUAUAUAGCGUAUUUAAUUUCAUUACUUUUCGUAAAUUAAAUUUCAUGUACGACGUGGUGGAUUAGAAUAUUCGCAUGGAUCUUUUUUUCUUUUUUAGAACACACACACACACACAUAUAUAUAUAUAUAUAGUAGUAAGUACCUUUUGGGUUGGUUUACAGCUCUCCAGGUUUUCUCUCGAUGCUCUGGAGAAGAACUAGAAGGACUGGUGGUUGUAUAUGAGGCGGAAUGGGUAGAAAUAGACGGAGGGGUAAGAAGACGAGAACUACGAGGGUCCUGCGAAAUUCUUACGACACGGGGUUGCCCCUUCCGUCUCCCCUAUCCCACCAUUCUCUCUCCCUCUCUCUUUUUCUCUCUCUGUGCGUCUAAAGUCCUGCACUCACUUUUCUUCUUCUUCCUCCUCUCCGUCUUUCUUUAUUCACGUCCCUUCGUGUUGCGCCCUACUCUUCUUUUCCCUUCCCUUCCCUCUCCUCCCAUUCUCUUCUCUUACGUUUUCUAGAGGACACGAGAGAGAGACAGACAGACAGAGAAAGAGAGAGAGAGAAAACGGUAAAAAGGAUGGGUUAGAAAGCAUAAGCUCGUACGAGAAGAAAGAUGAAAGAAAAAGAAGAAAGAAAAAAGCGAGAGAGAGAGAGAGAGAGAGAGAGAGAGAGAGAGAGAGUGAGUGACCGUUAGGGAAAAAAGGACUAUAAUAAUAGAAAGAAGACGUAGAGAGUAGGACGUGUUCAAAGAUGGCGCGUAGAGGGCACGCGCGUCGCAAUAGAAUGACGAUGAAGAGCGGUGGUAGUGGCGCGGUAGUGGGGUGGUGUCGGUGGCAAUGAUGAUGGUGAUGCUGGAGUGGGGAGGAUAGAAGCUGACCCCCCACCAAGUAGCACACGGCAGUGCUUGAAGCCGGGCGAAGGCGAACGAGCGAGUUAGUCGCGCGCCGAACCUCCUCCGUAUAACUUCGUCGUAUUUCGUGUUUUCUCGGAAAUUAUUUCUAUCUCUCUCUCUCUCUCUCUAUCUAUAUCUAUCUAUAUAUAUAUGUAUAUAUAUAUAUAUAUAUAUCUAUUCAUCAUCUCUUUCUCUCUUUUGUGUAUGUUCUAUGAUACUUUCGAUCGCGUCCGGUAUAUCUUCAAGAUAUUAAAAUUCCGCUCUCUUUCUGUGCGUUUUUGUUCCUCUUGUGCGAUCGACCGUAACAAAAAGAAAUCUUCGAGAAAAUAAUAUUUUUACCUUAGCAGGAAACAAGCAAGCACCAGAAGCAGCAGCUUUCUCUGUAUUUCUAUUAUUCCCGUUGGAAAUAAUAGGCACGUUUUUUUUUUUCUUUUCUCUCUUUAUUUUCUUUUUUUUUUUUUUUUUUGUUUUUCUUUUUCGUUUUUUUUUUUUUCUUUUUUUUUGUUUUAUUUCGCGCGUGUUAUAUGUGUGUGUACGUGCGUGUGCUUACGUAAUCCUCCCGAUAAGACUAUCUCUACAUCGAAUUAUAGACGCUUUCCUCGGUUACAAUCGAUUAAUCGAUUUUGUUCGGUAAGAGUUAAAAAGAGUCACGAUUAUUUUCGCGGGCUUUUUCUUUUUUUCUUUCCCUUUCUCUCUCUCUCUCUCUCUCUCUCCCUCUCUUUCUCUUCAUAUUACGUUGUGUAAUCAUUGACGAAGGAAGAGACAACAAAAGAGAGAGAGAGAGAGAGAGAGAGAGAGUUUUAUCGUGACUACAAUUUUUAUUCCAUAUAAUAGUUAUGCAAAAUUGGUUGAAAGAAUUAGAGAGAGAGAAAGAGAGAGAGAGAGAGAGAAAUAUGGUCGUCAUUGGUACAUCUUGUCGCGUAUUUUCGGCGACUGAGAUCGAUCGACGCCGGCUUUUCUCUCUUCUCUCUUUUCUCUCUCUCUUUCUCUCUUAUUUCCUUCAUCUCUUAUUAUCUAUUUUCUUUCUCCACUACUUUUGUAUUCGCGCGCGCACUCGCCAUGUGACUGAAAAGUUUCUUCCCCCCUCCCCCUCUAAGGGAGAUCUGAAAAUGUUGUCUCUCUUCAAUUCCCAUUUUCUCUCUCUCUCUCUCUCUCUCUCUCUCUCUCUUUCUGAAACACACACACACACAUACAAACACACUCUUUCAACCGUCUUCUUUCUUCUUCGAGCUUCGCGAAUUUGGAUUACUGGCGCAGGGAGAAUAAAUUUGCAUAAUUAUUCCGUUCGCUAUUGGACGGAUGGACGUUUCUCCUCCUCUUUCUUCUCCUUUUUCUGUUCGUCGUCAAUUUAGUCGUCGUCAGAUUUUUCUUACAAAUGUGUGCCUGGAGUAUAUAUAUAUAUAUAUAUAUAUAUAUAUCAUGUAUUUAUAUAUAUAUAUUUCUGUUAGUUGGUAACCUGUGUAAUAUUCUCUUCGUGUAGAACGAGAUUGGAACAUAUCACUUUCAGUGUUGAGAUUUCUUACUGCGCGAACCCGAUAAAAGAUAUACUUACACAGAUACAUACCUAGAUAUAUACUUUUGAAGGAUCGGAAAGUGUGAAAAAAAGAAGAAGGGAAGAAAAAAAGAAAAGAACGGAAAAGAAGAAGAAGAAUACACGGUGAGACACGAAACGAGUGAGGGAAAAAAAAAUCAUUUUUGUCGACAAACUAACGAAGCUCUCUUCUUACAGAAUAAGCACGUUUCUCUUUUCCUCCCUCUCUCUCUCUCUCUCUCUCUGUCUCUGUCUCUGUCUCUCUCUAUGUCUGUCUAUUUGUCUCUGUCUCUCUUUCAUGGAAGAGAGCUUUUUCUAACAAGAAAGUCGACAGAGCGCGAGAGUAUAGUAACAGCAGCCGCAGCACAGCAGCAGGCAGCACGUCUUCGUCUCCUCAUCGGCGUUUGUGUUUCGGCUCGAAUGUAAAAAUAAAAGGAAGAGAAACGAACCG